GGCGACGGGUGAGUAACACGUGGGUGAUCUGCCUUGCACUCUGGGAUAAGCCUGGGAAACUGGGUCUAAUACCGGAUAUGACCUGCAGUUGCAUGACUGUGGGUGGAAAGAUUUAUCGGUGCAAGAUGAGCCCGCGGCCUAUCAGCUUGUUGGUGGGGUAAUGGCCUACCAAGGCGACGACGGGUAGCCGGCCUGAGAGGGCGACCGGCCACACUGGGACUGAGACACGGCCCAGACUCCUACGGGAGGCAGCAGUGGGGAAUAUUGCACAAUGGGCGGAAGCCUGAUGCAGCGACGCCGCGUGAGGGAUGACGGCCUUCGGGUUGUAAACCUCUUUCGACUCCGACGAAGCGAAAGUGACGGUAGGAGUAUAAGAAGCACCGGCCAACUACGUGCCAGCAGCCGCGGUAAUACGUAGGGUGCGAGCGUUGUCCGGAAUUACUGGGCGUAAAGAGCUUGUAGGCGGCUUGUCGCGUCGAUCGUGAAAACUCGGGGCUCAACCCCGAGCUUGCGGUCGAUACGGGCAGGCUUGAGUACUUCAGGGGAGACUGGAAUUCA
rnacentral:rRNA from 1 species